GCAAGUCGAACGGCAGCACGAAGAGCUUGCUCUUUGGUGGCGAGUGGCGGACGGGUGAGUAACACUUAGGAAUCUAUCCAGUAGCUGGGGAUAACCCGGAGAAAUCCGGGCUAAUACCGAAUACGCACUAUGGUGGAAAGAGGGGAUCUUUCGGGACCUCUCACUAUUGGGUGAGCCUAAGCCGGAUUAGCUGGUUGGUGGGGUAAUGGCCUACCAAGGCGACGAUCCGUAGCUGGUCUGAGAGGACGAUC
rnacentral:rRNA from 1 species